rnacentral:rRNA from 1 species
AUUGAACGCUGGCGGCAGGCCUAACACAUGCAAGUCGAGCGGAUGCAGAGUGCGUGCUUCCGGUUUCAGCGGGGGACGGGUGAGCAAUUGCUGAGAACCUGCCAGGCAGUUGUUUAGAGCGUGCUAAAAUGGGCGAAAUUACGGCAAAACUCCUUAGGGCGUACGUGUGGGAGCAUCGGAUCUUAGGCUCUCAGGUGAGCCUAGGUCGGAUUAGCUAGUUGGUGGGGUAAAGGCCUACCAAGGCGACGAUCCGUAACUGGUCUGAGAGGAUGAUCAGUCACACUGGAACUGAGACACGGUCCAGACUCCUACGGGAGGCAGCAGUGGGGAAUAUUGGACAAUGGGCGAAAGCCUGAUCCAGCCAUGCCGCGUGUGUGAAGAAGGUCUUCGGAUUGUAAAGCACUUUAAGUUGGGAGGAAGGGCAGUAAGUUAAUACCUUGCUGUUUUGACGUUACCAACAGAAUAAGCACCGGCUAACUUCGUG